rnacentral:rRNA from 1 species
UACGAACUGUGCGAACGUUAUUCGGAAUCACUGGGCUUAAAGGGUGCGUAGGCGGCUUGUUAAGUCAGGUGUGAAAUCCCCCGGCUCAACCGGGGAACAGCGCUUGAAACUAGCAGGCUUGAGUGAGGUAAGGGUGUGCGGAACUUCCAGUGGAGCGGUGAAAUGUGUAGAUAUUGGAAGGAACGCCGGUGGCGAAAGCGGCACACUGGGCCUUGUCUGACGCUGAGGCACGAAAGCUAGGGGCGGGAACGCG